CGCAAGGAAAACGACUGGUGGAGACGCGUCCAUUGCAGAUUGCGUAACAAACGAGCUCAGAGCAGGGCUCUAAGUGCCCCAAAACAUUUAGGGCCAUUCGAAACCAUUCAGAUUAUUGACUCCACCUCCAGCUAAACGAGAUCAAACAGCCUUGUCUUUUUCCCUCUGCCUUUGUAACUAACCAAAGCCUGAAGUUCUCGGCAGUACCUUCCUAAUUGGCUUCAUUGUUUGGUUAUUGUGCUUAGAGCAGUUAGCAUUUGCAUUUCCAAUGGACCAGCCUGACAUUUCAGUUCCCUUUAAAUGACCCUUAAUGGUUUUCUAUGCUUCAGCAUAACCAGCGAAUCCACUCUUGGGGGUGAUUGUUACACUUACAAAAGAUGAUCCUCAAUGGCAACUAUUGUGUCUGCAGUGACAAGUGAACCAUAAUGAAGAGUGGAAUAAAACCAUGAUUCAUCUUCGGAGGCUGCCUCAGAGGGAAUGUGGGCUCACUCUUCCCCUCCUGAAGAAGAUACUCAAAACGAUGCCACCAGACUCCCGAAAUACUUCGGUCAUGUGACGUUUCACUUCAUCGGAACGCCCCGGGUAAAUCUGCAGAAGCGAUUUGUUUAAAGAUCCAUCUGUGUCCGGUGUUUCAUUCAUCUUCAGUGAAUUCACCAACCAAUUUAUCCCAAGUCGUGGUUUCGCAAGGUGAAUGGAUAUAGGGUCUUUGCAUGUGCAAUGAGCUCUUUCGCUUAAGCAUAUCUGAUGUGGUUUGGAUGUUUGGUCCCUUCCAACUCUCAUGUUGAAAUGUGACCUCCAGUGUUGGACAUGGGCCUAAUGAGGUGUUUGGAACAUGAGGGCAGAUCCCUCAUGAACAGCUCGGUGCUGUUCUUAUGGUAGGAGUUCCCAGGAGAUCUGGUUGUUUAAAAGGACCUGGCACCUCCCUGUGUCUCUCUCGCUCUGCCUCCCGCCAUGUGCUCCACCACACCCCUUUAUCUUCCUU
rnacentral:lncRNA from 13 species